rnacentral:SRP_RNA from 1 species
GCCGGGCAUUGUGGCGCAUGCCUGUAAUCCCACCUACUUGGGAGGCUGAGGCAGGAGAAUCACUUGAACCUGGGAGGUGGAGGUUGUAGUGAGCCAAGAUUGUGCCACUGUACUCUAGCCUGGGCGACAGACUCCAGCCUGGGUAACAGAGUGAGAUGCUGCUUUUU